GAAAAAUGCAAAACCCACAGGUCUUUUUCUGCUACUUCAACCUUCAGACAAAGUAUUGCACUAUACCAAAAUUUACCCUAAUAGCCUGAUAAAAUAUCUUCAUUUUAUUUUAAUAUCUUUUUAGUUUUAUUUUUAAAACUCUGAUAGGAAAUAGGCACUCAGCAGGAAGUGUCAGAAGUGUUUUCGUGUGAUGUGGACAUUAAAAAACUGCACAAUUUUACCUCUGAGCUGUGGACUAUAAUAAUAUAUUAAUGGUUUUCAGCCAUUGUCCCCACAGGUUUUGACUAGUUAAGCAUAUCUGGAAGUUUUGAUAAGAGAUGAUUAUUCAUUUCAGUGCUUUAGGGUGUGCUGCAUUGAUGCUCCAAAAUGCUCAAAAAUCACAAGUUAAGUCUUUUGGGAUAAUGGGGGGUGGGGAUUGCUCACAGUGCGCUGAAAGUAGAUGGCGCAAGACAGAGCAAAGGAGCCAGAGGAGUGCAGGAGGAGACAGUGGAAGCGUGGGUCGGCCCUUGAGACAUGUACUGAGUGGAUGUGGAAUGACAGCACAAGCCUAAUUAGUCUUGGAUGCCAGGGCUGCUACAGGGAGGUCGGUGCAAGUGAUCAAGCCAUUCAUGCAUUCAAGCACUUGCCCGCAGGCAUUCUCCGCCAACAGCCUGGAUCCCCAGAGCUCAAGUAUUACCUCAUCCCACUCAGAGGCAAAGGACGGCAUGCGCUCCAUGGAUGGCUGCCCAGAGCUGCAGUUAGACAUCGACCCACAGCGGCCAGCCAGUCCGCCAUCCUCCUCAACAUGUGGUGACCCCAACAAGUCAGAAUCCGACUUAGAUAAACUUCGAAUCAGCCCUAGUUCUGUAGGUUUGACUUUGACUGCCAUGGAUGAUGCAGGCUCAGCGGAAACUUCAUUUGAGUCGUUGACGUCAUCCUUUGGAUUCUGGAUCACCUUGGUGGAGUUGGAAACUGGCAUGCACUCUGCCAUUGUUUUGGAGCUGCCAAGUUCAGUGCAGCUCAGGGUCCGUAGUUUCCUGCAGUGCUCUGACUUCUUUAGUCAGUCCAGAGAGGGAUCCAAAGUCUUUGUGGAGACUUAAACUUCUGGUGGUCGAAAGUCACUCAGUGCUAGUGCUGAAAGAAUCAUGAAAUAUAAGUACUCUAGACUGAGGGAAUCUGCCAGUACACCAACUGACUUCAAUUCAUGCAAAAAGCUCUUGUUUGGAGGGAAAGCAUAGAAGUGAGAGACUUGUACACAGAAACAAUCAUUAAGGUCCACCCACUAGUUGUAUCCUGUUGCCCUCCCCUUAGUGACUGACUGCCUCAAAAUGUGCUGUGCCUUUAUCCUCUCAGCUAUGACUUUUUUGAUACUUCAACAGUCCUGUAACUCAUGUGCUUCUGCAGUUCCUAAAGAAAUACUCACAGUAGUAUCUUAACUAGGAAACCAGGAUUAGCUCAGUCAUAAAGCACAUAUGCAUGCAUCCAUAAAAUCAAUCCAUAGUAUUUUAAUGUUUGACCUGAUACCUGAUGGCUGACUUAAACUCAUCACUGUUAGCUGAAAUGAACAUAAAAUUUCUUACUGAGAAAUCUAUAAAGUCCUUAGAACUGCUUCUGCUUACCUGUUUAUUUAUUGACCCCCGGUGCCUUCCCUGCUCCAUAUAUUUAUGUCCAUCCUGUUCUGAGGUUGUUUUCAGACUCCUUUGGAGUACCAGCUCUGUCCUGUAGUGAAGAUCAGAGGACGGGAGGAUCCCAAAGUCUGGCCUUGUUCAGACUGACAGCUGGGAUAAUCAGGUUACUGAUGCACUGGGUGGCUGCUCCAUUUUAAAAAAGGAGAGAGAUGAGGUUCCUUCUUUCCUGUCUGUCUGUGCAGGAGACUGAAGUUAGUUAAGUUCUGUUAUUGUAGGACCGACAUGGUGGAUAUAGUCUCAGAUCACUGCUGAGCCAGGGUUACGUGUCCUAAAAAUGUCCACAUAUGCAUUUAUCUAUUAAUGUAUUUAUUUAUUGUGUCCAUCUGUCUGUCUGUCUUUCCAGAAUAACUCUGUUACAGUGUCAAUGACCUAAAGUGUAGCAGAAUACAGGAUACUUCUCCAAUUCAGCCUGAUGAGGAGCUUUAUAGACCUUUAUGAACUUAUUUUAUUUCACAAAGUCAGAUUUUAAUGCCAAAAAAAAUUGAUUUUCUCUAAAAAUAUGGAAUAUAAAAUAUGAAUGCUUGUGCAGGUAAAAAAAAAAAGAUAGCGAAUGAUGAUAUGAAAGGUAUGUAGAAAAUAUCUCCCACACUCUAUGCUUUUAAUUACUCUUCUCAAAGGUAGCUGAUGCUGAUAAAAUGUUCUCUUAGGAGUUGUCCUUAGUAUUCACACGCAACAGUAGCCUCUGUGUCCUGUGCCCUCAAGAAGCCAAGUUCCUUGCUCACCUCUUCCUUAUGGGCAGCACUGGUAUGUGCAUGACAGAAAAGAUAACAUUCUUCACUCGGUACAGAGGAUUCACACAGCCACACACUGCUUAGCUGGCAAUAACAAAAGCCACAUCUAAUGAAGGAAACAGAAGUGCACAUAAAAUGAUCCCUAUGACUGUGAGGACAAUGAAACAGUUUAAGUUAUCCAUAUCUUCUGUGGCAUAUAUACAGACAAUAGAGGCUCUGGAAUACAACAUGUUUGAGGAUAAUGAUGUCUUCACAGCAUAUUAGAGUGACUAAAAUAAAACAUGCAUCUCCUCCUUCAGCAGGCUGGCUGCUGAGCCUAAGGCUAAAGACAGUGGUGACUCAUGAACACUCUUCUCUAACAAAGACAUGCACACUGUGCAACUCAGAGAAACAGCGCAUAUAGUAAGCACACACUUGAG
rnacentral:lncRNA from 1 species